rnacentral:rRNA from 1 species
AUUGAACGCUGGCGGCAGGCCUAACACAUGCAAGUCGAGCGGAUGAAGGGAGCUUGCUCCUGGAUUCAGCGGCGGACGGGUGUGUAAUGCCUAGGAAUCUGCCUGGGAGUGGGGGAUAACGUCCGGAAACGGGCGCUAAUACCGCAUACGUCCUGAGGGUGAUAUUGGGUGUUCUUCGGACCUCACGCUAUCAGAUGAGCCUAGGUCGGAUUAGCUAGUUGGUGGGGUAAAGGCCUACCAAGGCGACGAUCCGUAACUGGUCUGAGAGGAUGAUCAGUCACACUGGAACUGAGACACGGUCCAGACUCCUACGGGAGGCAGCAGUGGGGAAUAUUGGACAAUGGGCGAAAGCCUGAUCCAGCCAUGCCGCGUGUGUGAAGAAGGUCUUCGGAUUGUAAAGCACUUUAAGUUGGGAGGAAGGGCAGUAAGUUAAUACCUUGCUGUUUUGACGGUACCAAAAGAAUAAGCACCGGCUAACUUCGUG